CUUGUGUUUGAGUGAGGAGAGAAAAUAGUAAGAUCUACAGAAGCUCCUGCGUGGGCCAAGUUUCCUGCUAGAGGAGGAUAUACGGUUCAACCUGUUCCUGCGCCCGCUUCUACUA